rnacentral:rRNA from 1 species
CCCUUAGAUGUUCUGGGCCGCACGCGCGCUACACUGAUGCAUUCAACGAGUCUAAAACCUGCUCUGAUAGGGGUGGGUAAUCUUUUGAAUGUGCAUCGUGAUUGGGAUAGAUGAUUGCAAUUUUUCAUCUUCAACGAGGAACGCCUAGUAAACGCAAGUCAUCAGCUUGCAUUGAUUACGUCCCUGCCCUUUGUACACACCGCCCGUCGCUCCUACCGAUUGAAUGAUCCGAUGAAUAUCAUGGAUUGAGGAUGCAAGUAGGUUCGCCUAUCUUCAUCUUCGAGAAGUGAAGUAAAUCUUAUCAUUUAGAGGAAGGAGAAGUCGUAACA